GACGAACGCUGGCGGCGUGCCUAAUACAUGCAAGUAGAACGCUGAAGGAGGAGCUUGCUUCUCUGAGAUGAGUUGCGAACGGGUGAGUAACGCGUAGGUAACCUGCCUGGUAGCGGGGGAUAACUAUUGGAAACGAUAGCUAAUACCGCAUAAUACUUGAUUAUUGCAUGAUAGUCAAUUAAAAGGUGCAAUUGCAUCACUACCAGAUGGACCUGCGUUGUAUUAGCUAGUUGGUGAGGUAACGGCUCACCAAGGCAACGAUACAUAGCCGACCUGAGAGGGUGAUCGGCCACACUGGGACCGAGACACGGCCCUGACUCCUACGGGAGGCAGCAGUAGGGAAUCUUCGGCAAUGGACGGAAGUCCGACCGAGCAACGCCGCGUGAGUGAAGAAGGUUUUCGGAUCGUAAAGCUCUGUUGUAAGAGAAGAACGAGUGUGAGAGUGGAAAGUUCACACUGUGACGGUAUCUUACCAGAAAGGGACGGCUAACUACGUGCCAGCAGCCGCGGUAAUACGUAGGUCCCGAGCGUUGUCCGGAUUUAUUGGGCGUAAAGCGAGCGCAGGCGGUUAGAUAAGUCUGAAGUUAAAGGCUGUGGCUUAACCAUAGUACGCUUUGGAAACUGUUUAACUUGAGUGCAAGAGGGGAGAGUGGAAUUCCAUGUGUAGCGGUGAAAUGCGUAGAUAUAUGGAGGAACACCGGUGGCGAAAGCGGCUCUCUGGCUUGUAACUGACGCUGAGGCUCGAAAGCGUGGGGAGCAAACAGGAUUAGAUACCCUGGUAGUCCACGCCGUAAACGAUGAGUGCUAAGUGUUAGGGGGUUUCCGCCCCUUAGUGCUGCAGCUAACGCAUUAAGCACUCCGCCUGGG
rnacentral:rRNA from 1 species